GGUUAUAGCUCAGUUGGUAGAGCGUUGGCUUCCCAAGCCGAAGGUCACGGGUUCGAGACCCGCUAACC
rnacentral:tRNA from 1 species